rnacentral:lncRNA from 1 species
GAGAUGAUCCCCAGGGCCAUCUUGGAAACAGUUUUUGAAGUUGGUAGAGUCUCGGGCCCGCUUAACUGCUGAAAGAGUAGGAAGGGGUCCGUUUCAUUAGCGCGUUCAACCAAAGAGCGCUGUUAGGUGAGCAAAAACAAACCAGUUGUGUCUGAGCCAACACCCGUUUGUCUAUGGGUUGUAGCAGUUGGUCCACCUAAUCAAGGAAGUGCCGAGAGCACAGGACAUGAAAAGACACAGCGCUAAGGUACAUGGCACGUUCACGAAGGUACAGGAGAGGCAAGAAAUGAGACGGGAAAGGUGGCCUAGGACCAGGUCGUGAAUGACAUGAUAACUAAGUUUUGACUUUUUCUCGUAGGUUUCCUGCACCACAAGGUUCCUUUCACUUAAAAAAAUUUUUUUUUAUAUUACACCAUCUUUAUUUGUACCUUACCGUCUAAGGCUAUCAAUCAAACUUCAGUAAGAACAGUUUCAGCAUCAACUAACGAACAGUAGCCAAACCAGAGAGCAGUCAAAAGUGUUUUAAAGGGAGCAGCAUCAGCUGAUGUUCUGCCAAGUCUCUGGGUGUUCAGGACCAUGGUCCCCCGGCACUUCCAGGCCCCUGUGGGCUGCAGGUGGAUCCCCAGGAGCCAAAGGGCCGCUCAGGAAAGGGUGGAACUUGGCCUCGCAAUCAGCUGGCUUCUGCCUAUUAUGGUCAUCUUCUUUCCAGAGGUCUUGCUAUCUCAGUGGACGUGGCUGUCAUCCAGCCGUCCUGGGCUGUUUUCUCAUAGAAGAGGAUCUCCCUCUGAAAACUGUGUCAUCCUUCAAUUCCUGGGCCAAGUCUGGGGACACAUCUUUUCUUAAAGCUUGCUGGUAUGACGAGCAGUUCCCAUUUUCCUGCACUUUACGAAGUCUCUGAGGUGCAAGCAGUAGACAUCCUUCUCCAUGGACUCCCCCUGAGGCUGCUUCAUGUGUUUUCAGGGCAGUUCAGGCAGAUCGGAAACCACUGGCUGCAGCUUCGGGAUGUCCCUCUCCAGCUGUGCCCUUGAACCCUGCAGAGAGACCUGCUCGCUGAGCAGACCUUGGGCUUGUGCUGUGAGUUCUGUACUCCUUUGGGUUUCUUCUCACAAUCGUAUGUCUGCUUUACCAGUCUUUCCCUCGGGACAUUCGAAGGAAGCACCUAAAUUACCAUUGUCAUCCAUGCUUUCAGAGGGACUUGCGGCCACGAUGCUGGGGGACCACCCUGUUCUGCUUCCCUGUUCCCCUCCACUGCCAAGUCCUCAUUUUCCAUGUCGUCU